ACUUUAUAGUAGGAAAAUUCUGCACACGAAUGUUGUAGACAUAUGCUAAUCAUAGGUCUUUAACAUUAAGCUUUCUCCUAGUGAAGAAAGUAAAGAAGAAAAUCACUCAAAAAUCAGGCUGGAGAAGGCCCAUGAUGUAGACCUGAGAUCACCAUAUUUCAGAUUCCACAUGUGACCACAUCAGAAGCAUCACACCAUCUUCAACUUGUGUGCACUGAUUGCAAGAAAAGGUCUUUUGUCACCCCAGCCUGUUUUAAGAGGAUGUCUGUAGGAUUUGCUGCCUUGCAUGCAGUCUCCCUUCCCGUGCAGAAUGCAGGCCAGUGCACCUGCGCCGCACUCCGCCCAGCGAGCAGCGUGCCCAGAGCGCGCUCCUGCGCCCUUGCUCUCGGGAGGCGAGGCCUGGCCGGGCCAAGCAGGGCCGCAGCCACCAGCGCACCUCCUGGAACCCGUGCGCCAGCUGCUGAGACCUUGGCCUUCUCGCUGCAGCUUCCAAUCCAAGCCGCCAAAGGGUGGCCUCCCUGAAGAGGUGCAUGGACACUGGCUACAACUGGUGUUUAAAGCAAUCCAUCUUCAAACAGAGCUGACCUGA
rnacentral:lncRNA from 1 species